rnacentral:sRNA from 1 species
CCUGCUGGGGGGAGAUAAAGUGAAUGUGGGUGUCCAGACCGCCUGCCGUGAGAAUGAGUCCCUCCCCGGCCAGAGCCUCCGUGGAAGCCCCCACGGUCAUUCCCGGAGUUACGCCGUCCAUAACGGAGGGGUUGCCUGCUUUUCCGAUACCGGCAAUCAGCCCGUUCUUGAUGCCAAUAUCUGCCUUGUAGAUUCCUGUGUAAUCCAGUACCAGGGCAUUGGUGAUCACCAGAUCCAGAUCCCCGUCCCCGCUGGUGGUGCCCACUGACUGCCCCAUGCCGUCCCGC